GGAAGAUCAAUUGAACCCAGGAGUUCAAGGCCAGCCUUGGCAACAUAGCAAGACCCCCAUCUCUAAAAUAUACAUAUAUGUAUAUAUCCACACAAAGACUCAUGCACAAAUGUUUACGGCCAUUUAUAAACAUAGCUAUCAUCCAAAAUAGCAAAAAAUGACAGCAACUCAAAAGUCCAUCAAUUGGUGAAUGGAUAAACAAAAUACAAUAUCUAAACACUACUCAGUAAUGUAAAGGAAGAACAAAUUAGUAAGACAUACAACAAAGUGGAAUGAAUCUCAAAAAUAUUACGUUAAGUGAAAGAAGCCAAAUGCAAAAGACUACAUAUUGUAUGAUUCCAUUUAUAUAAAAUGUCUAGAAAAGGCAAACCUAUAGAAACAGAAGGCAAGUCAGUGGUUGCCUAGGGGUGGGGUAGGAGCAGGGAUUAACUACAAAUAGGCACAAGGGAACUUUUGGAUGAUGGAAAUGUUCUAAAACUGGACUGUGGAGUUGGUUUCACCACUCUAAAAAUUUGCUAGUGUCAUUGGAUUGUACCCUUACAAUGGGUGAAUUUUAUGACAUGUAAACUAUACAUUGAUAAGGGUGUUAAAAAAUGAAAGAAUACCACAAGGAGGCCAGAGACUUUGAAAACUUUCUGAAAAAUGAAAAGCAGAUGGAAGACAAUCAGUGACCAAAAUAUAUAAAGAGCUUCUACAAAUCAAUAAGAAAAUGACAAAUAACUGAAUGUAGAAAGAACAAAGAGCGUGAAACAGCAGUGCACAGAAAAUGACAACUAAUAAACCAGUAGGAAAAUGCUGAACCUCACUGCUAAAAGAAAAGAUGCGAUUUAGAACCUAGGAUGUCAUUUUUCACCCACCAGGUCGACAAAAUGUAAGGUUAAUACCUAGGUCUGAUGGAGGGAUAAAGCACUGAAAAUUCUCAGACACUGCAGGUGGAAUGCAAAUUGGAACAGCCUCAGUGGAGGGCUGUCUGGCAGGAUAUGUGAAAAGUAAUAAGGGCUAUUUCCUGUGCUUCAGUGAUUACACAUCUCAGCUUAUAACUCAGAGAAACUCACUGGCACAGGUGCACAGUCUGCAUAUUGAAAAAAGUGGAAGCCACCUAAAUGUCCAUCCAUGAGUCUGUAAGACAGUUGCAAAAUGAACUAUGAUAUAACCAUUCCAUGAUGUUUUCUGUAGCAGUUAUUAGAUCUUUAUCUCUUAACAUGGAAAAAUUGUCAAGACAUUUUCUUUUUCUUUCUCUCUCUCUUUUUUUUUUUUUUUUGAGACAGGGUUGUGCUAUGUUGCCCAAGCUGGAGUGCAGUGGCACGAUCAUAGCUCACUGCUCCUUCAAACUCCCAGGCUCAAGUGUUCCUCCCACUUCAGCCUCCCAAGUAGCUAGGACUACAAGUGUGUGCCACCGUGCCUGGCUCAUUUUCUAAUUUUUUGGAAAGACGGGGUCCCACUUCUCACUAUGUUGCCCAGGCUGGCCUUGAACUCCUAGGCUCAGGUGGUUCUCCCACCUUGUCUUCUCAAAGUGCUGGGGUUAUAGGCGUGAGCCACCAUGCCUGGCCAAGACAUAUUGUUGAGUGAAAAAAAGGCUCUUCCCCAGUCUGGAGUACAGUAGGGUGUUCUUGGCUCACUGAAACCUCUACCUCCUGGGUUUAAGCAAUUCUCCUGCCUCAGCCACGUGAGUAGUUGGGAUUACAGGCAUGUACCACCACCUGGCUAAUUUUUGUAUUUUUAGUAGAGAUGGGGAUUCGCCAUAUUGGUCAGGUUGGUCUCAAACUCCUGGCCUCACGUCAUCUGCUUGCCUCGGCCUCCCAAAGUGCUGGGAUUACAGGCGCGAGCCACCGCACCUGGCUCAUUAUGAUCAUUUUUAAAAACUACUUCUCUACUAAAGGGUAUUUAGCUUGUUUUGAGACUUCUGCUGAUACAGAUGAUAAUACAGUCCUGGGUGAAGGUAUAUACUUGUUAAAUUUCAGUAACUACUGUUAAGUAGGUAUAUCCCCAAAGUGGCUGUACCUAUUUACACUCCAGCAGAGGAUGGAGGUAUGUAACCAGUCCCCCACCCCUCACUAUUAAUAAAAAAUAACAACCUUUUAUGAUUUUGCCAAGUGAAUGACAAAAUGUUAUUUUAGUUUCUAUUUCCUUGAUAGAAUGAAGUAAAACAUUGAUUCUAUUUCAUUUCAUUUGUUCUUUAGCCUUUGGAGUUUAUUUUUCCAUGAAUUCCUUAGUUAUAUCCUUUGCCUAAUUUGUUUUUUUCUUUUCUUGAGAUGGAGUAUUGCUCUGUGGCCCAGGCUGGAGUACAAUGGCGCGAUCUUGGUUCACAGUAACUUCCGCCUCCUGGGUUCAAGUGAUUCUCCUGCCUCAGCUUC
rnacentral:lncRNA from 1 species